rnacentral:rRNA from 1 species
UACGUAGGGGGCAAGCGUUGUCCGGAAUUACUGGGUGUAAAGGGAGCGUAGGCGGGGAUGCAAGUUGGGUGUUAAAUCUACCGGCUCAACUGGUAGUCGCACUCAAAACUGCAGCUCUUGAGUGAAGUAGAGGCAGGCGGAAUUCCUAGUGUAGCGGUGAAAUGCGUAGAUAUUAGGAGGAACACCGGUGGCGAAGGCGGCUUACUGGACCGUAACUGACGUUGAGGCUCGAAAGCGUGGGUAUCGAACAGG